AUUGAACGCUGGCGGAAUGCUUUACACAUGCAAGUCGAACGGCAGCACGGGGGCAACCCUGGUGGCGAGUGGCGAACGGGUGAGUAAUACAUCGGAACGUGCCCAGUCGUGGGGGAUAACGUAGCGAAAGUUACGCUAAUACCGCAUACGAUCUACGGAUGAAAGCGGGGGACCGUAAGGCCUCGCGCGAUUGGAGCGGCCGAUGUCAGAUUAGGUAGUUGGUGAGGUAAAGGCUCACCAAGCCGACGAUCUGUAGCUGGUCUGAGAGGACGACCAGCAACACGGGGACUGAGACACGGCCCAGAAUCCUACGGGAGGCAGCAGUGGGGAAUUUUGGACAAUGGGCGCAAGCCUGAUCCAGCCAUUCCGCGUGCAGGACGAAGGCCUUCGGGUUGUAAACUGCUUUUGUACGGAACGAAAAGGCUCUGGUUAAUACCUGGGGCUCAUGACAGUACCGUAAGAAUAAGCACCGGCUAACUACGUGCCAGCCGCCGCCGUAA
rnacentral:rRNA from 1 species